rnacentral:rRNA from 1 species
UACGUAGGUGGCAAGCGUUAUCCGGAUUUAUUGGGCGUAAAGGGAACGCAGGCGGUCUUUUAAGUCUGAUGUGAAAGCCUUCGGCUUAACCGGAGUAGUGCAUUGGAAACUGGGAGACUUGAGUGCAGAAGUGGAGAGUGGAACUCCAUGUGUAGCGGUGAAAUGCGUAGAUAUAUGGAAGAACACCAGUGGCGAAAGCGGCUCUCUGGUCUGUAACUGACGCUGAGGUUCGAAAGCGUGGGUAGCAAACAGG